rnacentral:lncRNA from 1 species
AUGACCCUCCCAGCCAACCCGCACGGCCUGCCUCCAGGCAAAAAAUAUUCAAGACGAGCCAGAGCAAUCCAAAACCGCAUCCUGAGAGGUAGCUGCCUUCAGCAUUGCGCCCAACAGUCGUCGGCCCCGGGGCGCCCUGAGACCGGAACACGCCAUCUCAUUGCUUCAACUUCGCGUCUACGGUCCUGCAUUUUCUGUCUCGGCCCCUGCAGCCUUCGCCGGAUCAGUGUCCACGGUUGCUGGCCAACAGCUGCGGGGGGCCGAGCGGCAUCCCUGGACUCUGCCCCCUGGCUGCCCGUAGCAGUGGUGACGAUCCACGGGGUCUGCAGACACGGCCAAUUGUCCGCCGGGGUGGAAUCACCCGAGGUUGGGAACCGUAGUCGUAAGUGGUUUUUAUCUUGCCAGUGUGUUUGCUUGCUUGUUUUGCCCAUCAUUAAACAGAGCGGCCUGAACCUCCCCGCAGCCCUUUCUGCCUCCACCCAAGGACCCCCGGAGGGCACAUUCCUAGCUGCUGAAUUGCUAUUUCAGGGAAGCAGCAUCCACUGAGAGCUCUGAUACGGUUUUUGCCAAAUUUCUCUUCUUUCUUUUUUAAUAUUUAUUUUUUUUUGAGGGACAGAGAGAGACAGCACAAGCAGGGGAGGGGCAGAGAAAGAGAGGGAGACACAGAAUCUGAAGCAGCUCCAGGCUCCGAGCUGUCAGCACAGAGCCUGACCUGGGGCUCGAACCCACGAACCGUGAGAUCACGACCUGAGCUGAAGUAGGAAGCCCGACCAACUGAGCCACCCAGGCGCCCCUGUUUUUGCCAAGUCUCUAGCCAAGUGUCAUUUUUAGAAAGUUAAAAGCACAGCUCGACACAAAUAUAUAGGUAGCCUACAUUCAAGAUUUCUUUGUCUCAUUUAGUGAGACAGCUGGCGGGCCAGAGGGCUGGCUCACGAGGAAGAGGGGACACAGUGCCCGAAAGGGAGCUCCGCAGUCACACUCCAAGCUGCGCGCGGCAUCCUUUGUGAGGCUCCACAGCAUUGAUCACUUUCACUGAGGUCAGUUCUCCGCGUGUCAACGUGGACCCGCACACGGUUGAGAAAUAACGCUUGUCAGUGGAAACUAGUAAGUCACGGGUGAGAUACAUCUUAGGUGGUCGUUGCGCUCACCCACGUGUGUCCUUGAAAAGACACAGCCACUCUCCUGCCCACUCCUGAGUUUUGAUGUUUUCUCUCUUAACAUCGUGGUCCUGACAUUGUGCACAAAGCCCUUCAGUUGCUCGGGCUCCGGGCCCCGAAACCACCGCCCACACGGGAUGAGCUUCCCUCCUCUUACCGCCCAUCGGUCCGGGAUGCGUGUCCUCACUUCCCUUCCUGUCACUGCGGGGACGGCCAGUACGGCUCCACACACGUACUGACCUUCUCGGCUCUCGCUUAUUUUGCCUUCCCAUCCUUUGCUGCUUUUCCUUUUAGAGAGUUCUGCUUUUCCUCAUUCAUUUGCCC